rnacentral:rRNA from 1 species
GAUGAACGCUGACAGAAUGCUUAACACAUGCAAGUCAACUUGAAUUUGGGUUUUUAACUUAGGUUUGGGUGGCGGACGGGUGAGUAACGCGUAAAGAACUUGCCUCACAGGUAGGGACAACAUUUGGAAACGAAUGCUAAUACCUAAUAUUAUGAUAAUAGGGCAUCCUAUAAUUAUGAAAGCUAUAAGCGCUGUGAGAGAGCUUUGCGUCCCAUUAGCUAGUUGGAGAGGUAACGGCUCACCAAGGCGAUGAUGGGUAGCCGGCCUGAGAGGGUGAUCGGCCACAAGGGGACUGAGACACGGCCCUUACUCCUACGGGAGGCAGCAGUGAGGAAUAUUGGACAAUGGACCGAGAGUCUGAUCCAGCAAUUCUGUGUGCACGAUGAAGUUUUUCGGAAUGUAAAGUGCUUUCAGUUGGGAAGAAACAAAUGACGGUACCAACAGAAGAAGUGACGGCUAAAUACGUGCCAGCAGCCGCGGUAAUACGUAUGUCACGAGCGUUAUCCGGAUUUAUUGGGCGUAAAGCGCGUCUAGGUGGUUAUGUAAGUCUGAUGUGAAAAUGCAGGGCUCAACUCUGUAUUGCGUUGGAAACUGUAUAACUAGAGUACUGGAGAGGUAAGCGGAACUACAAGUGUAGAGGUGAAAUUCGUAGAUAUUUGUAGGAAUGCCGAUGGGGAAGCCAGCUUACUGGACAGAUACUGACGCUGAAGCGCGAAAGCAUGGGUAGCAAACAGG